AACGAACGCUGGCGGCAUGCCUAACACAUGCAAGUCGAACGAUCCCUUCGGGGAUAGUGGCGCACGGGUGCGUAACGCGUGGGAACCUGCCCUUAGGUUCGGAAUAACUCAGAGAAAUUUGAGCUAAUACCGGAUAAUGUCUUCGGACCAAAGAUUUAUCGCCUUUGGAUGGGCCCGCGUUGGAUUAGCUAGUUGGUGGGGUAAAGGCCUACCAAGGCGACGAUCCAUAGCUGGUCUGAGAGGAUGAUCAGCCGCACUGGGACUGAGACACGGCCCAGACUCCUACGGGAGGCAGCAGUGGGGAAUAUUGGACAAUGGGCGAAAGCCUGAUCCAGCAAUGCCGCGUGAGUGAUGAAGGCCUUAGGGUUGUAAAGCUCUUUUACCCGGGAUGAUAAUGACAGUACCGGGAGAAUAAGCCCCGGCUAACUCCGUG
rnacentral:rRNA from 1 species